rnacentral:tRNA from 1 species
GAACGUAUGGCUUAGUGGUCAUGGCGCUUGGACGGUUUCCAAAAGACUCGAGUUUGAGUCCCGCUACGUUCA